UUAUCGAGCAGUUUGCUAAUGUUUCCCAUAUCCAGUGACCUGGACAUUGCAGAUUUUAUAAGAAAAGCCAGUGGGCUCCCAGACAAAGUUAAAAAGCUUUCAGGAUUUUCUCUUCAUCUUUGCUUGUCCGGACGCUCACCAGGAUGCUAG